rnacentral:rRNA from 1 species
CAGUAGCCGCGGUAAUACGUAGGUGGCAAGCGUUGUCCGGAAUUAUUGGGCGUAAAGCGCGCGCAGGUGGUUUAAUAAGUCUGAUGUGAAAGCCCACGGCUCAACCGUGGAGGGUCAUUGGAAACUGUUAAACUUGAGUGCAGGAGAGAAAAGUGGAAUUCCUAGUGUAGCGGUGAAAUGCGCAGAGAUUAGGAGGAACACCAGUGGCGAAGGCGGCUUUUUGGCCUGUAACUGACACUGAGGCGCGAAAGCGUGGGGAGCAAACAGGAUUAGAGACCCCCGUAGUCCCUGUCUCUUAUAC